GACGAACGCUGGCGGCAUGCCUAACACAUGCAAGUCGAACGAGACCUUCGGGUCUAGUGGCGCACGGGUGCGUAACGCGUGGGAACCUGCCCUUAGGUUCGGAAUAACUCCCCGAAAGGGGUGCUAAUACCGGAUAAUGUCUUCGGACCAAAGAUUUAUCGCCUUUGGAUGGGCCCGCGUUGGAUUAGCUAAUUGGUAGGGUAAAAGCCUACCAAGGCGACGAUCCAUAGCUGGUCUGAGAGGAUGAUCAGCCACACUGGGACUGAGACACGGCCCAGACUCCUACGGGAGGCAGCAGUGGGGAAUAUUGGACAAUGGGCGAAAGCCUGAUCCAGCAAUGCCGCGUGAGUGAUGAAGGCCUUAGGGUUGUAAAGCUCUUUUACCCGGGAUGAUAAUGACAGUACCGGGAGAAUAAGCUCCGGCUAACUCCGUG
rnacentral:rRNA from 1 species